UGAGUAACCUGCCCUUCACUCUGGGAUAACUCCGGGAAACCGGGGCUAAUACUGGAUAUGACUCGAACAGGCAUCUGUUUCGGGUGGAAAGAUUUAUUGGUGGAGGAUGGACUCGCGGCCUAUCAGCUUGUUGGUGAGGUAAUGGCUCACCAAGGCGACGACGGGUAGCCGGUCUGAGAGGGCGAUCGGCCACACUGGGACUGAGACACGGCCCAGACUCCUACGGGAGCA
rnacentral:rRNA from 1 species